rnacentral:rRNA from 1 species
AUUGAACGCUGGCGGCAGGCUUAACACAUGCAAGUCGAGCGGAGAUGAGGUGCUUGCACCUUAUCUUAGCGGCGGACGGGUGAGUAAUGCUUAGGAAUCUGCCUAUUAGUGGGGGACAACAUUCCGAAAGGAAUGCUAAUACCGCAUACGUCCUACGGGAGAAAGCAGGGGAUCUUCGGACCUUGCGCUAAUAGAUGAGCCUAAGUCGGAUUAGCUAGUUGGUGGGGUAAAGGCCUACCAAGGCGACGAUCUGUAGCGGGUCUGAGAGGAUGAUCCGCCACACUGGGACUGAGACACGGCCCAGACUCCUACGGGAGGUAGCAGUGGGGAAUAUUGGACAAUGGGGGGAACCCUGAUCCAGCCAUGCCGCGUGUGUGAAGAAGGCCCUAUGGUUGUAAAGCACUUUAAGCGAGGAGGAGGCUACUGAGACUAAUACUCUUGGAUAGUGGACGUUACUCGCAGAAUAAGCACCGGCUAACUCUGUGCCAGCCGCCGCGGUAA